AGAGUUUGAUCAUGGCUCAGAACGAACGCUGGCGGCAGGCUUAACACAUGCAAGUCGAACGCUCGUAGCAAUACGGGAGUGGCAGACGGGUGAGUAACGCGUGGGAACAUACCCUCCGGUUCGGAAUAGCUCAGGGAAACUUGGAUUAAUAUCGGAUACGGCCGAAAGGCGAAAGAUUUAUCGCCGGAGGAUUGGCCCGCGUUCGAUUAGCUAGUUGGUGAGGUAACGGCUCACCAAGGCGAUGAUCGAUAGCUGGUCUGAGAGGAUGAUCAGCCACAUUGGGACUGAGACACGGCCCAAACUCCUACGGGAGGCAGCAGUGGGGAAUAUUGGACAAUGGGCGCAAGCCUGAUCCAGCCAUGCCGCGUGAGUGAUGACGGCCUUAGGGUUGUAAAGCUCUUUCGCUCGGGACGAUAAUGACGGUACCGAGAUAAGAAGCCCCGGCUAACUUCGUGCCAGCAGCCGCGGUAAUACGAAGGGGGCUAGCGUUGUUCGGAAUUACUGGGCGUAAAGCGCGUGUAGGCGGGUCUUUAAGUCAGGGGUGAAAUGCCAAGGCUCAACCUUGGAACUGCCUUUGAUACUGGAGACCUUGAGUCCGGGAGAGGUGAGUGGAAUUGCGAGUGUAGAGGUGAAAUUCGUAGAUAUUCGCAAGA
rnacentral:rRNA from 1 species